UAUACAUGCAGUCGAACGAACUUCCGUUAAUUGAUUAUGACGUACUUGUACUGAUUGAGAUUUUAACACGAAGUGAGUGGCGAACGGGUGAGUAACACGUGGGUAACCUGCCCAGAAGUAGGGGAUAACACCUGGAAACAGAUGCUAAUACCGUAUAACAGAGAAAACCGCAUGGUUUUCUUUUAAAAGAUGGCUCUGCUAUCACUUCUGGAUGGACCCGCGGCGUAUUAGCUAGUUGGUGAGGUAAAGGCUCACCAAGGCAGUGAUACGUAGCCGACCUGAGAGGGUAAUCGGCCACAUUGGGACUGAAACACGGCCCAAACUCCUACGGGAGGCAGCAGUAGGGAAUCUUCCACAAUGGACGCAAGUCUGAUGGAGCAACGCCGCGUGAGUGAAGAAGGGUUUCGGCUCGUAAAGCUCUGUUGUUAAAAAAAAACGUGGGAAAAAAUAACUGUUUACCCAGUGACGGUAUUUAACCAAAAAGCCACGGCUAACUACGUGCCAGCAGCCGCGGUAAUACGUAGGUGGCAAGCGUUAUCCGGAUUUUUUGGGCGUAAAGCGAGCCCAGGCGGUCUUUUAAGUCUAAUGUGAAAGCCUUCGGCUCACCCGAAAAAGUGCAUUGGAAACUGGGAGACUUGAGUGCAAAAAAGGACAGUGGACCUCCAUGUGUAGCGGUGAAAUGCGAAAAUAUAUGGAAAAAACACCAGUGGCGAAGGCGGUUGUCUGGUCUGCAACUGACGCUGAGGCUCGAAAGCUGGGGUAGCGAACAGGAUUAGAUACCCUGGUAGUCCAUGCCGUAAACAAUGAUUACUAAGUGUUGGGAGGGGUUUCCGCCCUUCAGUGCUGCAGCUAACGCAUUAAAUUAAUCCCGCCUCGGGAGUACGACCGCAAGGUUGAAACCUCAAAAGAAAUUGACGGGGGGGCCCGCC
rnacentral:rRNA from 1 species